UAGGGUGUAGCUCAAUAGUAGAGCACUUGCCUAGCAAGCAGGAGACCUUGGGUUCAAUCUCCGGCACCAUUA
rnacentral:tRNA from 1 species